rnacentral:rRNA from 1 species
GACGAACGCUGGCGGCGUGCUUAACACAUGCAAGUCGAACGAAGAGCGAUGGAAGCUUGCUUCUAUCAAUUUUAGUGGCGAACGGGUGAGUAACGCGUAAUCAACCUGCCCUUCAGAGGGGGACAACAGUUGGAAACGACUGCUAAUACCGCAUACGAUCCAAUCUCGGCAUCGGGACUGGAUGAAAGGUGGCCUCUAUUUAUAAGCUAUCACUGAAGGAGGGGAUUGCGUCUGAUUAGCUAGUUGGUGGGGUAACGGCCCACCAAGGCGAUGAUCAGUAGCCGGUCUGAGAGGAUGAACGGCCACAUUGGGACUGAGACACGGCCCAGACUCCUACGGGAGGCAGCAGUGGGGAAUCUUCCGCAAUGGACGAAAGUCUGACGGAGCAACGCCGCGUGAGUGAUGACGGCCUUCGGGUUGUAAAGCUCUGUUAAUCGGGACGAAUGGUUCUUGUGCGAAUAGUGCGAGGAUUUGACGGUACCGGAAGAGAAAGCCACGGCUAACUACGUG